rnacentral:misc_RNA from 1 species
UGUCUGACCUCCUUGAGUUC